rfam:Stegodyphus mimosarum contig119844, whole genome shotgun sequence.
GCCUUCGUGGUGUAGUGGUCAGCACGCUGGACGCGUAUUCCAGAGGUCCGUGGUUCGAGUCCCGGCGAAAGCG